AACGAACGCUGGCGGCAUGCCUAACACAUGCAAGUCGAACGAGACCUUCGGGUCUAGUGGCGCACGGGUGCGUAACGCGUGGGAACCUGCCUUUAGGUUCGGAAUAACUCAGAGAAAUUUGAGCUAAUACCGGAUGAUGUCUUCGGACCAAAGAUUUAUCGCCUUUAGAUGGGCCCGCGUUGGUUUAGCUAGUUGGUGGGGUAAGGGCCUACCAAGGCGACGAUCCAUAGCUGGUCUGAGAGGAUGAUCAGCCACACUGGGACUGAGACACGGCCCAGACUCCUACGGGAGGCAGCAGUGGGGAAUAGUGGACAAUGGGCGAAAGCCUGAUACAGCAAUGCCGCGUGAGUGAUGAAGGCCUUAGGGUUGGAAAGCGCUUUUACCCGAGAUGAUAAUGACAGUAUCGGGAGAAUAAGCUCCGGCUAACUCCGUG
rnacentral:rRNA from 1 species